GACGAACGCUGGCGGCGUGCUUAACACAUGCAAGUCGAACGGACAGGCUCUGCUUUUGUUGGGUGCUCGAGUGCCGAACGUGUGAGUAACACGUGAUUAACCUCCCCCUGACUUUGGUAUAACUUCAGGAAACUGUGGCUAAUACCCGAUAGAAGCUCCUGCUGCCUGGUGGUGGUUGGACAGUUUCGGCGGUUGGGGAUGGACUCGCGGCUUAUCAGCUUGUUUGUGGGGUAGUGUCUUACCAAGGCUUUGACGGGUAGCCGGCAUGAGAGGGUGACCGGCCACAUUGGGACUGAGAUACGGCCCAGACUCCUACGGGAGGCAGCAGUGGGGAAUAUUGCACAAUGGGCGGAAGCCUGAUGCAGCAACGCCGCGUGCGGGAUGACGGCCUUCGGGUUGUAAACCGCUUUCGCCUGUGACGAAGCGUGAGUGACGGUAAUGGGUAAAGAAGCACCGGCUAACUACGUG
rnacentral:rRNA from 1 species